UAUUGGAGGAUACUCAAGUUUGCAACAAGUUGAUUUGAGCUUCAACAAACUACAUGGACCAAUUCCGGCUUCACUUUUUAACUUAAGUGGACUUACUCACUUGUUUCUGGGAAACAACACGUUGAAUGGUUCCUUGCCCACUCAAAAGAGCCAGUCUUUGAGCUAUAUGUGAGUAACAAAAUCCAUUAAAA